UCGACUCCGAGGUCGAAUGCUCGACACUGUCAUGUUUCGUGCCUCUAGUGAAGUACAAGGCGAGAGGUUGAACACUGAGCAGAUGGUAGUCAUCCACGAACGCCGUGGUAGGGUGAAGUUUUGCUUCAGCUUGUGGCGAAACAGAUCAGAAGUUUCUGGCACCACUUCAGGUCCUUUCUUGGAGACGAGCAUAAGAUGGUCAUAACAAUAAUGUUCUUUGCUUCAGGAUUCUGUUUGUUGAUUUCACCCACCGCCUAUUUAUUAAUAAGUCAUUUUAAUAAUAUUGUUGAAAACAACUCCAACUUUAAGAAAGAGGUAAGUUUAGUUUUAUAGAAGAGAGAGAUUCUCUCUGUCAGGUGAAUAUCUGCAAAUAUACAAACACAAUAAAUCUGAGUCUGUAGAUGACAGUCAGCAAUGCAGCCCCAUUUAAAAACAUUAAGAACAAAUUAAAGUGUGAAUCAGCGACUGCUGCUGUGUGAACUUUUAAUGUGACUCUUUCCUUACUUGUGUAAAAUAUCUGAAUGAUCAGUCAUUACUGCUUUUCUUGAAACCUCAACACAGAAAAAGAAUAAAAGCCACAUGAUGUGAAAUCCAUCA